UCGGGAAUUUUGGGCAAUGGGCGAAAGCCUGACCCAGCAACGCCGCGUGAAGGAUGAAGUAUUUCGGUAUGUAAACUUCGAAAGAAUAGGAAGAAUAAAUGACGGUACUAUUUAUAAGGUCCGGCUAACUACGUGCCAGCAGCCGCGGUAAUACGUAGGGACCAAGCGUUGUUCGGAUUUACUGGGCGUAAAGGGCGCGUAGGCGGGUCGUUAAGUUGGGGGUGAAAUCCCGAGGCUCAACCUCGGAACUGCCUUCAAAACUGGCGACCUGGACCUAAGUAGAGGCAAGUGGAAUUGCGAGUGUAGAGGUGAAAUUCGUAGAUAUUCGCAGGAACACCAGUGGCGAAGGCGACUUGCUGGACUUAUGGUGACGCUGAGACGCGAAAGCGUGGGGAGCAAACAGGAUUAGAUACCCCCGUAGUCCCUGAGCGGGCUGGCAAGGCGCAU
rnacentral:rRNA from 1 species